CAAUUAGAACGGUCAAAGCAAAGACUAUACCAUGAACGGGCCCAAAUAAUUGCCGCCCGUUUGGGGAUGUCAUCCACCACCGCCGCCGCUACGCCCAUCCCACAACCACCAAGGGCAGGAAUGUCAUUUCCAAAUCCAACACAAAGACCUCCAAAUCCAAAUCCAAAUCCAAUGACAAAUCCCAUGACCAUGACUCCGCCUCAAAGACCGCCACCUUCANGCCGCUAGGCCCAUCCCACAACCACCAAGGGCAGGAAUGUCAUUUCCAAAUCCAACACAAAGACCUCCAAAUCCAAAUCCAAAUCCAAUGACAAAUCCCAUGACCAUGACUCCGCCUCAAAGACCGCCACCUUCAAGACCCAUGACGAUGGCACCAACGCCACCGCCACCGCCACCUCCUACAGUCGCCGGAAACCCGUCCUCGGUUGGAAUGAAGUGAGGGGAGGGCAAAAUUGUAAUUUGGCAUUGUGUUGUACCACACGAAAGUUCUAACAAGUUUU
rnacentral:lncRNA from 1 species